AUUGAACGCUGGCGGAAUGCUUUACACAUGCAAGUCGAACGGCAGCACGGGGGCAACCCUGGUGGCGAGUGGCGAACGGGUGAGUAAUAUAUCGGAACGUGCCUAGUCGUGGGGGAUAACGUAGCGAAAGGUACGCUAAUACCGCCUACGAUCUCAGGAUGAAAGCGGGGGACCGUAAGGCCUCGCGCGAUUGGAGGGGCCGAUGGCAGAUUAGGUAGUUGGUGAGGUAAAGGCUCACCAAGCCUGCGAUCUGUAGCUGGUCUGAGAGGACGACCAGCCACACUGGGACUGAGACACGGCCCAGACGCCUACGGGAGGCAGCAGUGGGGAAUUUUGGACAAUGGGCGCAAGCCUGAUCCAGCCAUUCCGCGUGCAGGACGAAGGCCUUCGGGUUGUAAACUGCUUUUGUACGGAACGAAAAGCCUUGGGCUAAUACCCCGAGGUCAUGACGGUACCGUAAGAAUAAGCACCGGCUAACUACGUGCCAGCCGCCGCCGUAA
rnacentral:rRNA from 1 species